AUUGAACGCUGGCGGCAGGCCUAACACAUGCCAGUCGAGCGGAUGAAGGGAGCUUGCUCCUGGAUUCAGCGGCGGACGGGUGAGUAAUGCCUAGGAAUCUGCCUGGUAGUGGGGGAUAACGUCCGGAAACGGGCGCUAAUACCGCAUACGUCCUGAGGGAGAAAGUGGGGGAUCUUCGGACUCAACGCAUUCAGAUGAGCCUAGGUCGGAUUAGCAAGUUGGUGGGGUAAAGGCCUACAAAGGCGACGAUCCGUAACUGGUCUGAGAGGAUGAGCAGGCACACUGGAACUGAGACACGGUCCAGACUCCUACGGGAGGCAGCAGUGGGGAAUAUUGGACAAUGGGCGAAAGCCUGAUACAGCCAUGCCGCGUGUGUGAAGAAGGUCUUCGGAUUGUAAAGCACUUUAAGUUGGGAGGAAGGGCAGUAAGUUAAUACCUUGCUGUUUUGACGUUACCAACAGAAUAAGCACCGGCUAACUUCGUG
rnacentral:rRNA from 1 species